AUUGAACGCUGGCGGCAGGCUUAACACAUGCAAGUCGAACGGUAGCAGGAGAAAGCUUGCUUUCUUGCUGACGAGUGGCGGACGGGUGAGUAAUGCUUGGGAAUCUGGCUUAUGGAGGGGGAUAACGACGGGAAACUGUCGCUAAUACCGCGUAGUAUCGGAAGAUGAAAGUGCGGGACCGCAAGGCCGCAUGCCAUAAGAUGAGCCCAAGUGGGAUUAGGUAGUUGGUGGGGUAAAGGCCUACCAAGCCUGCGAUCUCUAGCUGGUCUGAGAGGAUGGCCAGCCACACUGGAACUGAGACACGGUCCAGACUCCUACGGGAGGCAGCAGUGGGGAAUAUUGCGCAAUGGGGGGAACCCUGACGCAGCCAUGCCGCGUGAAUGAAGAAGGCCUUCGGGUUGUAAAGUUCUUUCGGUAUUGAGGAAGGAGUGUAUGUUAAUAGCAUACAUUAUUGACGUUAAAUACAGAAGAAGCACCGGCUAACUCCGUG
rnacentral:rRNA from 1 species